GACGAACGCUGGCGGCGUGCUUAACACAUGCAAGUCGAACGGAAAGGCCCUGCUUUUGUGGGGUGCUCGAGUGGCGAACGGGUGAGUAACACGUGAGUAACCUGCCCUUGACUUUGGGAUAACUUCAGGAAACUGGGGCUAAUACCGGAUAGGAGCUCCUGCUGCAUGGUGGGGGUUGGAAAGUUUCGGCGGUUGGGGAUGGACUCGCGGCUUAUCAGCUUGUUGGUGGGGUAGUGGCUUACCAAGGCUUUGACGGGUAGCCGGCCUGAGAGGGUGACCGGCCACAUUGGGACUGAGAGACGGCCCAGACUCCUACGGGAGGCAGCAGUGGGGAAUAUUGCACAAUGGGCGGAAGCCUGAUGCAGAAACGCCGCGUGCGGGAUGACGGCCUGCGGGUUGUAAACCGCUUUCGCCUGUGACGAAGCGUGAGUGACGGUAAUGGGUAAAGAAGCACCGGCUAACUACGUG
rnacentral:rRNA from 1 species